GUGCUCGCUUCGGCAGCACAUAUACUAAAACUGGAACGAUACAGAGAAGAUUAGUAUGGUCCCUGUGCAAGGAUGGCACGUAAAUUCAUGAAGCGUUCCAUAUUUUU
rnacentral:snRNA from 1 species